rnacentral:tRNA from 1 species
UGGAUUAUAGCUCAGUGGUAGAGCACUUGCCUACCAUGCAUGAGGACCUGAGUUCAAUCCCCAGCACCACAA